rnacentral:rRNA from 1 species
CCUACGGGAGGCAGCAGUGAGGAAUAUUGGUCAAUGGACGAGAGUCUGAACCAGCCAAGUAGCGUGAAGGAUGACUGCCCUAUGGGUUGUAAACUUCUUUUAUAAAGGAAUAAAACGAGGCACGUGUGCCUUUUUGCAUGUACUUUAUGCAUAAGGAUCGGCUAACUCCGUGCCAGCAGCCGCGGUAAUACGGAGGAUCCGAGCGUUAUCCGGAUUUAUUGGGUUUAAAGGGAGCGUAGAUGGGUUGUUAAGUCAGUUGUGAAAGUUUGCGGCUCAACCGUAAAAUUGCAAUUGAUACUGGAAGUCUUGAGUACAGUUGAGGUAGGCGGAAUUCGUGGUGUAGCGGUGAAAUGCUUAGAUAUCACGAAGAACCCCGAUUGCGAAGGCAGCUUACUAAACUGUGACUGACAUUGAUGCUCGAAAGUGUGGGUAUCAAACAGGAUUAGAUACCCUAGUAGUC